rnacentral:rRNA from 1 species
AUUGAACGCUGGCGGCAGGCCUAACACAUGCAAGUCGAACGGUAACAGGAAGCAGCUUGCUGCUUUGCUGACGAGUGGCGGACGGGUGAGUAAUGUCUGGGAAACUGCCUGAUGGAGGGGGAUAACUACUGGAAACGGUAGCUAAUACCGCAUAACGUCGCAAGACCAAAGAGGGGGACCUUCGGGCCUCUUGCCCUCGUAUGUGCCCAGAUGGGAUUAGCUUGUUGGUGGGGUAACGGCUCACCAAGGCGACGAUCCCUAGCUGGUCUGAGAGGAUGACCAGCCACACUGGAACUGAGACACGGUCCAGACUCCUACGGGAGGCAGCAGUGGGGAAUAUUGCACAAUGGGCGCAAGCCUGAUGCAGCCAUGCCGCGUGUAUGAAGAAGGCCUUCGGGUUGUAAAGUACUUUCAGCGGGGAGGAAGGGAGUAAAGUUAAUACCUUUACUCAUUGACGUUACCCGCAGAAGAAGCACCGGCUAACUCCGUG